CCGAUGGGCAAUCAGGCAUCAGAAUUCAUCAAUAUGUAACCCUGAUCGAAAAAUCCCAACCAGUGGGACUCUUGACCCCGAUACCCAUAAUGUUGGAACUCAUGAUCAAAGAAUCCUGAUUCUCGAUCACUGAGUCCCAAACAUGUAAGAUUCUACAUCAGCCAUCAGAUCAGAUAAGAACCACUAAUGUGUGUGACCGCGCAGGUUCGAACCUAAGUCGGUAGCACAGGAACCAAUUCCUGUACUAAUCGAAGUGACCAUCUAGCAAUGAUACCCG
rnacentral:lncRNA from 1 species